AUUGAACGCUGGCGGCAUGCCUUACACAUGCAAGUCGAACGGUAACGCGGGGCAACCUGGCGACGAGUGGCGAACGGGUGAGUAAUGCAUCGGAACGUGCCCAGUAGUGGGGGAUAGCCCGGCGAAAGCCGGAUUAAUACCGCAUACGACCUACGGGUGAAAGGGGGGGAUCGCAAGACCUCUCGCUAUUGGAGCGGCCGAUGUAAGAUUAGGUAGUUGGUGGGGUAAAGGCCUACCAAGCCGACGAUCUGUAGCUGGUCUGAGAGGACGACCAGCCAAACUGGGACUGAGACACGGCCCAGACUCCUACGGGAGGCAGCAGUGGGGAAUUGUGGACAAUGGGCGCAAGCCUGACUCAGCCAUGCCGCGUGCGGGAAGAAGGCCUUCGGGUUGUAAACCGCUUUUGUCAGGGAAGAAAUCUUCUGAGUUAAUACCUCGGGAGGAUGACGGUACCUGAAGAAUAAGCACCGGCUAACUACGUGCCAGCAGCCGCCGUAACAC
rnacentral:rRNA from 1 species